GGGGCGGGGCGCCCCCCUAAUAUAAUGGUAGGGGAAACACUGCAAUCUGUUAGAAAGGGAAAGUUUAGAGGGAAUCACUGAUGGACAAAACACCAGAACCUCCUCAGAACAUCUGGUUCUUCAUCUGCAGUAACUUUGUCAAUAAUCAGAGUUCUACCUUCAGACUGGGAAUAUUUCCAGAGUUCUAAGUCCUUGAAGUCCACAGAGGAGAACGUCCCCUGGAGAAUAGCAAAAAGAAGAGAGGUCCGAGGCACUCUGAGUUCCUAAAAGUCCUUCAAUAAUUCAUGGACGGCAGUUUACGCGUUUCGGCCACUACACGGCCUUCGUCAGAACAUAAUACAACAAUAGGGCACAGGUGUGCCUGAUAAGGGCUGGAACCAGGUCACAUGACCACAUCACCUGAUACAAGACAUCACUAUUUAAUAAAAAAAAACAACAUUUAAAAACAUUGACAAUCGAGAGACCAGAAGAAUAAGGUAAUCAUAGACAAUACCCAUGUUUUCACAGCGCCCUGUAAAUGGAACAGUUGUGUACAGCAUAAGAUAAAUCUACAACAACCCUCAAACCUGAAGCAAUAGAGGAUAGUAUUCACACAGUACAUCACUAACAGGCAGUGUAACAACAAGAAAGUCAGAUAUUCAUAAAAACACCAAAAAAUCCACCUCCUCGUGUCCCCUGGAGAAAGUUCUAGAGCAGACCUACCGACAACUGUCCAGCUGUCGGUAGGUCUGCUCCAGAACGUUGUCCGGCUGUCGGUAGGUCUGCUCCAGAACCUAGAACUUUGUCCGGCUGUCGGUAGGUCUGCUCCAGAACGUUGUCCGGCUGUCGGUAGGUCUGCUACAGAACCUAGAACUUUGUCCGGCUGUCGGUAGGUCUGCUCCAGAACGUUGUCCGGCUGUCGGUAGGUCUGCUAUAGAACCUAGAACUUUGUCCGGCUGUCGGUAGGUCUGCUCCAGAACGUUGUCCGGCUGUCGGUAGGUCUGCUACAGAACCUAGAACUUUGUCCGGCUGUCGGUAGGUCUGCUCCAGAACGUUGUCCGGCUGUUGGUAGGUCUGCUCCAGAACCUAGAACUUUGUCCGGCUGUUGGUAGGUCUGCUCCAGAACCUAGAACUUUGUCCGGCUGUCGGUAGGUCUGCUCUAGAACUUUCUCCAGUUGUCGGUAGGUCUACUCUAGAACUUUCUACAUUUAUCGGUAGGUCUACUCUAGAACUUUCUCCAGUUGUCGGUAGGUCUACUCUAGAACUUUCUACAUUUAUCGGUAGGUCUGCUCUAGAACUUUCUCCAGUUGUCGGUAGGUCUACUCUAGAACUUUCUACAUUUAUCGGUAGGUCUACUCUAGAACUUUCUCCAGUUGUCGGUAGGUCUACUCUAGAACUUUCUACAUUUAUCGGUAGGUCUACUCUAGAACUUUCUCCAGGGGACGUUCUCCUUUCCUGCUUCCAGUCUUUAAGUUUAGUCUCACUUAGAACAUUCCAGGUCCUUGAAGUCUGUAGAGUUGGGUCCAGAUUUAUCACUUUUUCAGAACUUCAUCAGACCAGCAGAUAGAACCAUGACAUUUAGGAGGAGAAACAUCUGAGUUCUGGUAAAAACUGACUCUGGAUCGGUUUAAAUCCAUCCAGGUGUCUCAGUCUGAACACUAAAUCUGGUUUCUGUUGAGUUUCUCUAUAACCAGCUGUGAUCAUCAGUAUUAUGGGAUGUGUCCUAGUGUGAACAAUUCAGAGUUCUAGAAACAAUCUUUGGUUCCUGGAUGUGUUUCUGGUUCAAAAAGUCAUUGUGGGUGAACUUCAGUGUUGGUAGGAGGUUGGUCAGAAAUAGAAGAUGGAAGGAGGAACCAGGAUCAUCUGGAGACAGGGUUCACUCUGAGGGAAACUAUUUUCUCCUGUAGGAAUAUUUAACUGCCGAAUCCAUCUUCUGACUGUUCCUCUGAUGCUCUCAGUUUAUUGUCAUUGAUGAACCAGUUUACAGCAUCAGAGCUUGUUGAGCCUUCAGGUUUAGGGUUCUGGUGGUUCUGGUUCUGGUGGUUUUGCUGGUUCUGGUGGUUCUGUUUAGUCCUCAGACUCCAUGAUGCUGCAGGAACCAUCAGGUUCUCGUGGUUUAAAUCUGUUUCCUGA